rnacentral:rRNA from 1 species
CGCUCGUACCGCUCGGGUACCCUGUCGGGAAGCUCGUCGGACACCCCGUGCGACCCCGUCCGGAGGUUGCACCGCGUCGACCAGCCGCACCUGCGCGACCCCGACCAGAGGUACCAGCACGUCCGGCGGGACCGCCGCGCGGCGGUCGCCCUGCGGACGCACGCCAAGCGCGUCGUGCACCUCGAGCAGCCGCCGGACGAGUCCCUCGACCUCGAGCGCCUCGACUACGCCGCACUCCGGUGCUCCGCCGGCGACCUCGUCGAGGCGCCGCGCGACGCCGCCACGAUACGCGAGCGGUGCCGCACGGUCCUGACGCCGAUGGAGGCGGCGGACGACGACCCGCGUGCCUACCGGCUGCUCGAGGCGCGGCGCGUCGUGCUCUAGCUGUACAAGUAGGCGGAGUAGGGCGAGUAGAGGGAGCAGCUGCUAAGCUGUUUGUCAGCAGCACGGUUCCUCACACAACUUUGGUAGAGGUCGUUCUCGAAACCUUAAGAGGCUUUAUGCCCAAGUUCCUCGAUGACUUGAGACGUAACAACCUCUUUUUGGUAGACACCCUUUUCAACUGGACGUUCUUGUCUUUUAGAAGUUAUAACUUCUUGAGCGACUCGAAACAUAGGCAUAUCUUCUUUGAACACACCCUAAACGUUUCAAGUUGAAGAAAGUCUAGCACCUACGAUGUCUGUUAAAGAGUCUCUCCUCUUAUGAACCCAAACCACCUAAGCCAUGUCAAAUAUUCCCAGUCAACGGGUUGCCUGAAUACUAACGGUAGUUUUCUGAACUAGUCGUACGUUGCUAUAAACUAAAGCUGUCACUUAACGUCGAACGUUUCGAAGUCGUAUGGUUAGACUAAUCCAACGACCCCACCACGUAAGUACCCCUUCUUUCCUAAGAACAGAUACUCAAGUACGUUUUAUCAAGGAACCUGGUAAUGUAUAGACUGUCUUGUUUUCCCGUUAACGAUCUGACCAGAUUCGCUAAGUUCUAUUAAUGUCCCAAUUGUCUCCCGGAACAAAUGGACGUAUUUCCAAGGUACAGGACGGAACAGGUAUCUCUGAACUUUGGUGUAUUAUAGGAGAACCUAAUAUUGUACUCGGGUUUCUAAUGACUAAAACCCAGUCGAUCCUGUGACUCAAGUCUACAUCGUCUUCCCGUGUGCUCAUCCGAGCACCCUUGGUCACCAAUGUUUCGACGUCUCAUACGUAGAGCUCCUCAAAUGAGCUGCUUCUGUCUGCACAAGUCGAAACCGCAAAACCAAGACCACUAAUAAUCACCGGCUUUCUUAUGGUAUGAGCUGUUCGUUCUCCUAUGACAACCACUAGAACAUGCUCUACGGACCGUAUACACCUACCUGGUUUCCAACGUACUCGAACACCUAGACAACAAUCCCCUGCCUAUACUUCAGCGACUCUAUUGCUUUACGCGAGUCCACCGUGACGAAACACGAGUCCUUCUAGGUCGUCUCGCCAGGUGGUACUGUCUACAACGCCGUUACGACUUGAGACUUUCGUGUUCGAAUGGUUACCACGGAUUCGUCGGGCGACGCGACUAGGUACCCACACGGCUGUCUCCGUGCUGCGGCUGUAUGUACCCGGUUAGUUCGUCCUGUUAUCUUCAUUGGUAUUGCUCAAGUCGAGGUUACAGCUGGUCUCAAGCUUAGUAAGAUCUGGGCCUCCAAACUAUACUACCUCUUGUAAGUCAUCGUAUAUAAUUUUUUUUACACUCGCUCCUAAUACCCGAAAAAUGCCGAGUCCAUCGCAUGUAUAAGCUCUAUAGUUUCUAGUCAAAACACCUCACUUUUAUUUGUACACACACACCAACCAUGGUCGAUGGUCUGACUAAAAGGUACCCG